rnacentral:rRNA from 1 species
AAAGGAAUAGACGGGGGCCCGCACAAGCGGUGGAUGAUGUGGAUUAAUUCGAUGCAACGCGAAAAACCUUACCUGGUCUUGACAUGUACCGAACCUCGAAGAGAUUUGAGGGUGCCCGAAAGGGAGCGGUAACACAGGUGCUGCAUGGCUGUCGUCAGCUCGUGUCGUGAGAUGUUGGGUUAAGUCCCGCAACGAGCGCAACCCUUGUCAUUAGUUGCCAGCAUUAAGUUGGGCACUCUAAUGAGACUGCCGGUGACAAACCGGAGGAAGGUGGGGAUGACGUCAAGUCCUCAUGGCCCUUAUGACCAGGGCUUCACACGUCAUACAAUGGUCGGUACAGAGGGUCGCUAAGCCGCGAGGUAGUGCCAAUCUCAUAAAACCGAUCGUAGUCCGGAUCGCAGUCUGCAACUCGACUGCGUGAAGUCGGAAUCGCUAGUAAUCGCGGAUCAGCAUGUCGCGGUGAAUACGUUCCCGGGCCUUGUACACACCGCCCGU